GGCGCUAUAGCCAAGUGGUUACGGCGACAGAUUAGAACUCGAACAAAGUCAUGAGUCAUCAACAAUCUGUUCCUCUUUGAGGGCGCAGGUUCAAAUCCUGCUGGCGUCG